GACAGAGGAUGCAAGCGGUUAUCCGGAAUGAUUGGCGUAAAGCGUCUGUAGGUGGCUUUUAAGUCCGCCGUCAAAUCCCAGGCUCAACCCUGGACAGGCGGUGGAAACGUACCAAGCUGGAGUACGGUAGGGCAGAGGGAAUUUCCGGUGGAGCGGUGAAAUGCGUAGAGAUCGGAAAGACACCAACGGCGAAAGCACUCUGCUGGGCCGACACGUGACACUGAGAGACGAAAGCUAGGGGAGCGAAUGGG
rnacentral:rRNA from 1 species